UUCUUUCGAAGCCUCUGAUAGUAUCCAGAUUGUAGUGCAUGCACUAACAUGGCCAAGAAACAGGGUGCACACGAUGCAAAACGGUACACCAACCUUCAAAAUCCUCCAGGCCUAAUCCCCUCAACUUUCACCAUACAUCCACCCAACAAACAAAAUCAAGCUGGCAUAAUACAACAAAAAGGAAGAAGAAAAAAUGAGCAGCGAGUACUUGUCAGGUGUCCAUAAGACCAUAACCAUCAACCAUCUGGAAUCUCAUCAGUUGGAUAAUUAAAGAGACUAAGCAUCUGGACUAAAAAACAAAAAUGACAGUAAAAUGACACAGUAGUAAAAACAAAAACUAUUUUAGUUGUAAUCCCAGUACUCAUAAAAGCCUGAACUAAGGCAACCUCGACAUGAAUGGACAAGUGGCUUCCAUGAAAAGAAUAAUUCACUGCUCUUUAAGACCCAAUGGCUGCAUGCACAAAAAAAAGGGUACAAUCAAGUUCAAAGUUGAUGAAAGCCCACACCAAAGAAAUCAUUAGAGAUGCCACAUAGACAAGAUUAAAGAACCCUUCUUCGUUUAAGCCCCGACAAUAUAUCCAAAUUGCAGUGCAAGAACCAAAAAGACCAAGAGGGUACAGAGAUACCAUACUGGAUAUCAACCUUAUCAAUCUCCCAAUCUUAACCUCUAAUAUUGUCACCAUAUAGUCUGCACAUCCAUCCAACAAAAAAAAUGGCAGCAAAGAACAUAUGUAGCUAGAAGACCAGAAGUAGAGAAGCACUUUAUGAAGAGAUAGAUCCACAAAUCGAGUACUUAUCAAGUGACUAUAACCAUAAUGAGGAGAGAACUCAUCAGUUGGAUCAUUGAAGAACAAAUUGUCUGGAUUAAAAGCUUCAUGGCAGCAGAACACAAUACACACUUGCAAGAAAAUAUUAUCUUAGUCAAAAUAACAUCCAUACAACAAUAGUUUUGACAGAGAAAAGGGACCUAUAAGGAAAGAAAACAGAAUCGAAAAUCUCAAUACUCAUGAAAGACUCUACUAAAGAAACCUCAACACAAACGGAUAAACACGGCCGCUUCAUGAAAAGAAUAAUCCACUGCCCUAUGGUUCAAUGGCUACAAGAAUUGAAAGAAAGAAACAGUUAAGUGCAAAUCUGACAAACCCCGAAACCACCCAUGUAAUCACUAAAUAUGCUAUAGACAAGACUAAAAACCCCCUUAUGUCAAAGCCCGGAAAUCCAAAUUGCAGUGCAAGCACCAAAGACCAAAAGGUGACAGAGGAUCACAUGUUGAUUAUAACCAAGCUUUGAAAUUUCCAAAUCUGAAUGUCCAUAACAGUACCACCACCAUAUGGCUACACAUCUAUCCAACCAAAACAAACUAUCAUGAUAAUAUAAAAAAAAUGGAAGACAAAAGAUAAUAAGUAGCUAGAAGAACAAAAGUAAAGAAGUAUUUUACAUCACUAUAAAAAGAUCUAGGAUUGGCCGAGUACUUCUUUAGGUGCCCACACAAAAGACCUCAUCACCAUAGGACACCUCACAACUUGGAUCAUCCAAGAGCAUAUGCUUCUGGACAAAGAACUCAUGGCAGCAGAAAAAUACAACACACUGGUCAAAAAUAAUAUCCUAAUUGAGAAACUUCCAUACAAAAGUAGUUUUGACAAAGAUAAGAGGAGCCAUGAGAGAAGAAAACUGAAUUGAAAAUUAUCGAUACUCAUAAAAGACUGAACUUAAAAGGCCUCAACUCAUAUGGACAAACAAGAUCACUCCAUGAAAAGAAGAAUCCACUGCUCUGUAAGACCCAAUGGCUGCAAGCAAAGGAAUAAAGGAAAGAAUACUUGCAAAGCUGACGAAACCCACUAGAAAAUGCAAGAUAAGAUUGAAAAACCCCUCUCAUAUCCUGAUAAUAUCCAUAUUGCGGUGCAUCCACAAAACUGGCAAAGAAUCAAGAUUGAGAAACCCCUCUAUCUCGCCUAAUAAUAUUCAGAUUGUAGUGCCAGCACAAAAAUGGCAUAGAAACAGGUUGCACAAGAAUGGACACUGGGCAUUAACCUUCAAAAUUUUCCAAAUCUAAUCCUCUACUGUCAUCCAUCCAACAAAUAAAAUCAAUCUGGGGUGAAACAAACAGGAAGCAGAGAACGGACCCACUUGAUGGGGCUGUCAAGAGAUCUAGGAUUGAGUUUUGAUUUCUUAUCAGGUGUCAAUAAGACCAUAUACCCAUCAACCAACCAGGAAUCUCGUAAUCUCAUCAAUUGGAUCAUCGAAGAACACAAGCAUCCGAUCUACAAACUAAAAAUGGCAGAGCAGAAUACAACACACACUAGUGCAAGAAAAACUAAUUUAGCUGGGAACUACCAUAUAACGGCAAUUUUUGACAAAGAGAGGAGGGACCACUCUGAUUGAGGAAGAAAACUGAAAUGAGAAUCUCAGUACUCAUAAAACCUGAAGUAGAAGAACAUCAACACAAAUGUCCAAACAAAGCCCCUCCAUGAAAAGGAUAGUUCACUGCUCGGUUAGACCCAACUGCAAGCACAGAAAGGAGGCUGCAAGCACAGAAAGAAGGGAACAGUUAAGUGCAAAGCUGACAAAACCCUUAUCACCUAAGAAAUCACUAGAGACGCAAGAGAUAUUGAAAAACCCCAUUAGUCGAAGCCUGACAAUAUCUAUCUUGGAGUGCAAGCACAAAAAAGACAGAAAAAGGUGCAAAGGAACGCCUACCGGAUACAAGCAUUCGAAGUUCCCAAAACUAAUCCUCUAUUAAUAUCACCAUGUGGUCUACACAUACAUUCACCAAUAAACAAGAUCAAGCAGGUGUGAUAACCAAGGGAAAACGAAAGCAGAGAGAAAAUAAGUAGCUAGGACACAAAAGCCAGAGGAGCACUUUACGGCACUAUCAGAGAUCCAGAAUUGACUUUUGACUACUUAUACAGUGCCCAUAACACCACAAGAGAUAGCAGGAUUAUCAAAGAACAUGAGCAUCUGAACCAUGAACUAAAACUGGCAGCGUUACACACACAAGUGAAGAGAAAUAUCAUAAUUGAGAACUUCCAUAAGCAGUAAUGACAAAACUUCGAGAGACUGAAAAAUCCAAUACCUAUAGUCAAAAACCUGGGAACUGUUGCAUCCUUCCCGAGACGAACACCAAAGCAAGACACUUACUCCUGUAGAACGACUUGCACCUAGAUGCCCAUCCAUGUAUUCUUGACAGCUAAGAAUGACAUCCACUGAUGACCAAACCAAAUAAGUUGAGCGAGGAGAAACAUGAUAAGCAUCAAUAUUAACAUUAAAGAUGGAAGUCAAGAUAUCAAAUCCAAACUGAUAGCUCCUCUCUAUGGUUAUGACAACAUAAGACGAUGGGACUCGUUCAUCUCAAGAUCUAAAUUCCCACUUCUACUCAUAUUCUGAUUCAACAGAAGGAAAUUGCUAGGUUUUAGAGUAGUAAAUAGGGUGACAAAAUAAUGUACACAACACACGAUUUCUCACAACAAAAACCUCAGAAUUUUCCAAAACCUGGAAGCAAUACUCGAUUUCCCCCAAAACUGCAUCCAAAAUGGACCUUACCAUACCAGCUUCCAAUUUCUAAAAUAAAAACAUUGGAAAUCAAUCGAAGGUACACCAAGAAAAUGGGAACAAAUUAAAUAUUUGCACUGGAAAGGUACCCAUAAUCAUUCUCCUAUCAUUAUUACCCAGACCUUCAACCAAACACCAAUAACGAAUCAAAAGAUCCAAAAUUGAUUACUUGUUAGGUGUCCACAAAACCAUAACCAUCAACCAUCAGGAAUCUCAUCAGUUGGAAAAUUGAAGAAAAUAAGCACCUAAACGAAAAACCAAAAAUGAUGAUAGAAUAUGACACACACUAGUUGAAAAAAAAUUAGUUGCAAAUCUCAGUACUCAUACAAGCCUGAACCAUGGAAACCUCCACAGAAAUUGGACAAACAAAACCUCUCCAUCAAAAGAAUAUUUUACUGCUCUGUAAGACCCAAUGGCUGCAAGCACAAAAAGAAGGGUACAAUCAAGUCCAAAACUGACAAAACCCUUACCACCUAAGAAAUCACUAAGAGAUGCCAUAUAGACAAGAUUAAAAAACCCUUCUUUGUUGAAGCCUUGACCAAUAUGUCCAUAUUACAGUGCAAGAACCAAAAAGACCAAGAGGGUACACAUAUACCAUACUGGACAUCAACCUUUGAAAUCUCCAAAUCUUUAACCUCUAAUACUGCCACCAUAUAGUUCGACCUGUCGUCACAUAUGAAAUAACGGACGGUAAAAAUUUAGGAGCCCUUUUUCUACCGGAUCCAUUGCAGGAAAGGGAUAAUGUGUAACUUCGAAUUGUCAACUAUCUCCUUUAUAGUCUAAACAUCCAUCCAUCAAAAAUAAGAAGCUGUGACAACCGAAAGAAAAUCGCAGGAAAGAACAUAUGUAGCUAGAAGACCAGAAGUGGAGGAGCACUUUAUGGCACUGUCAAAAAGUAAGAUCCAGAAUUGACCGAGUACUUACUGGUAAAACUUCAUGGCAGCAGAACACAACACACACUGGUGAAAAAUAUUAUCUUAGUUGAGAAACUGUCAGUCUUUCAUGCAACAAUAGUUUUGACGGAGAAAAGAGAGCCAUACGGGAAGAAAACUGAAAUUAAAAAUUGCAGUACUCACAAAAGACUUAACUAAAGAAACCUCAACACAAAUGAACAAACACAGCCGCCUCAUGAAAAGAACAAUUAACUGCCCUGUAGCCAAAGGCUGCAAGAACAGAAAGAAGGGAACAGUUAAGUGCAAAUCUGACAAACCCCAAACCACCCAAAUAAUGACUAGAUAUGCCAUAGACGAGACCGAAAACCCCCUUUUCGAAGCCCAGACAAUAUCCAGAUUGCAGUGCAAGCACCAAAAAGUCCAAAAGGUGGCAGAGGAUCGCAUGUUGGUUAACCAACCUUUGAAAUUUCCAAAUUUGAACGUCCAUAACAGUGUCACCGUACGGUCUACACAUCCAUCAAACCAAAAAAACUAGUGUGAUAACAAAAAAAUAUGGAAGCAGAGAAGAUAAGUAAGUAGCUAGAAGAACAAAACAAACAAAGUAUUUUACGCCACUAUCAAAAGAUCCAUUGGCCGAGUACUUAUCAGGUGUCCAUAGCCAUAAGAGACUUCAUCAUCACCAUAAGAGGCCUCAUCAAUUGGACCAUCUAAGACAUAUGUGUCUGGACUAAGAACUUCACGGUAGCAGAAUACAAUCACUGGUGAAAAAUAAUGUCCUAAUUGAGAAACUUCCAUACAACAGUAGUUUUGAAAAGACAAAUGAGUCAUUAGGGAAAAAAAACUAAAUUGAAAAUUAUCCAUACUCGUAAAAUACAGAACUAAAGAAACCUCAACACCACAUAUGGACAAAUAAGGCCUUCUAUGGGAAGAAAAAUCCACUGCUUUGUGAGACCCAAUGGCUGCAAGCAAAUGAAUGAAGGGAAGAGUUACGUGCAAAGUUGAUGAAACCCACUAGAAAAUGCCAGACAAGAUUGAAGAACCCCUCUCAAAGCCUGAUAAUAUUCAGAUUACAGUGGAAGCACAAAUAUGGCAAAGAAACAAAAUUGGAAACCCCCUCUGUCGAAGCCUGAUAAUAUUCAGAUUGCAGUACAAGCACAGAAAUAGGCAAAGAAACAGGAUGCACAGGAAUGGACUCUGGGCAUCAACCUUCGAAACUUUCCAAAUCUAAUCCUCUUAACUGCCAUCCAUCCAACAAACAAAAUCACACUGGGAUGAUACCUUAGUUGCGCGGACUCUCCACUUUUAAUGCCGCACCCGUGUCGGAUUCUCCAAAAACACACUACAUUUGGCGAAUCCGACACGCACCCGUUGACAUUUUGAAGAGUCCGAGCAGCAACAUAGGGUGAUACAACAAAUGGAAAGCAGAAUAAAACACACACUGGUUGAAAAUAUAACCAUUAUUGAGAACUUCCACACAACAGUAGUUUUGACAAAGAGAAAAGGGUCCCACUUAUCAAGAAAAAAACUGAACUGGAGUUCAUUCUGUAGAAGACCCAACAGUUGCAUGCACAAAAAUAACAAAACAGGUAGGUGUAAAACAUGGGAAACUCAUACCACACAGCAAGACAACUAGAGAUGCCAAACAAUAUAACAUUGCAAAGGGACCAUUUCUUGAAGCGUCUGGUGAUAUCCUACCAUCCAGAUUGCAGUGCAAGCACCAGAAUGGCAAGAAAUAGGGUUCACAGGGCACAUCGAAACCAAAUUACAAAAUUUAAUCUUAUCCUCCUACUAUCAUCAUAUCAGCACCAUGUGGCCUACAAACAUUCAUCCAACCAAACUAAAUCAACUGGUAAGCUAAAUGAAAGCAAAGGAGGUAAGCAGCGAGAACAUGAAAAUAAAGGUGUUGCAGGGCUAUCAAAAGAUCCAAGACUGAGUUUGAAUACAUUCAUCGACUGUCCAUAACCAUGGAGAUCUCAUCAGUUGGAUCACUAACAAGCAUAAGCAUCUGGAUUACUUUAAAAAAUGGCAACAAAAUACGCAAUAGUGAAGCAGUGUUGACAAAGAGAGAAGGGAACCAUUCUGAUUACAGAAGAAAACUGAAUUGAAGAUCUCAAUAAUCAUUAAAGCAUCGACAAAAAAACCUCAACACAAAUUGACAGACAAGGCCGCUCCAUGAAAAGAAGAAUCUACAGCUUUGAAAGACCCAACAGCUGCAAGCACAGAAAGAAUGGAAUACUUUUAAGUGCAAAGUUGGUGAAGCCCGUACCACCUAGAAUUCACUAGAAAUGCAAGACAAGAUUGAGAACCGCCUUCUUUCAAAGCCUCUGAUAGUAUGAAGAUUGUAGUGCAUGCACUAACAUGCCAAGAAACAGGGUGCACGGGAUGCACACUGUACACCAACCUUCAAAAUCCUCCAACAAGUCUGAUCCCCUCAACUUUCACCAUACAUCCAUCCAACAAACAAAAUCAAGCUGGCGUAAUACAAGAAAAAGGAAGCAGAAAAAAUGAGCAGCGAGAACACCAAAAGAGAGGACCAUUUAUGAGGCUUUCAAGAGAUCCAAAUUGAGAUCUUGUCAGGUGUCCAUAAGACCAUAACCAUCAACCAUCUGGAGUCUCAUCAGUUGGAUAAUUAAAGAAAAGAAGCAUCUCGACAAAAAACCAAUAUGACAGUAGAAUAUGACACACACUAGUGAAAAACAAAAACUAUUUUAGAUGAAAAUCCCAGUACUCAUAAAAGCCUGAGGCAACCUCAACAUGUAUGGACAAACAACGCCACUCCAUGAAAAGAAUAAUUCACUGCUCUGUAAGACCCAAUGGCUGCAGGCACAAAAAGAAGGGUACAAUCAAGACCAACGUUGACGAAACCCACACCAACUAAGAAAUCACUAGAGAUGAGAUUUAGACAAGAUUUAAAAACCCUUCUUUGUUGAAGCCUUGACCAAUAUAUCCAGAUUGCAAUGCAAGAACCAAAGAGACCAAGAGGGUACAGAGAUACUAUACUGCGUAUCAACCUUUGAAAUCUCCAAAUUCUAACCUCUAAUAUUUUCACCAUAUAGUCUACACAUCCAUCCAACAAAAAAUGGCAGCAAAGAAUAUAUGUAGCAAGAGGACCAGAAGUAGAGCAGCACUUUAUGGAGAGAUAGAUCCACAAACCGAGUACUUAUCAAGUGACUAUAACCAUAAUGAGGAGAGAACUCAUCUGUUGGAUCAUUGAAGAACAAAGAGUCUGGAUUAAAAUCUUCAUGGCAGCAGAACACAACACACACUUGUAAGAAAAUAUUAUCUUAGUCAAAAAACAUCCAUACAACAAUAGUUUUGACAGAGAAAAGGGAUCCAUAAGGAAAGAAAACAGAAUCAAAAAUCUCAAAUACUCAUAAAAGACUCUACUAAAGAAACCUCAACACAAACGGAUAAACACGGCCGCUUCAUGAAAAGAAUAAUCCACUGCCCUGUGGUUCAAUGGCUGCAAGAAUUGAAAGAAAGGAACAAUUAUGUGCAAAUCUGACGAACCCCAAAACCACCCUCGUAAUCACUAAAUAUGCCAUAGACAAGACUAAAAAACCCCUUAUGUCAAAGCCUGGAAAUCCAAAUUGCGGUGCAGGCACCAAAGACCAAAAGGUUACAGAGGAUCACAUGUUGGUUAUAACCAAGUUUUGAAAUUUCCAAAUCUGAAUGUCCAUAACAGUACCACCAUAUGGCUACAUAUCUAUCCAACCAAAACAAACUAGCGUGAUAAUGAAAAGAAAAAAAUGGAAGCACAGAAGAUAAGUAAGUAGCUAGAAGACCAAAAGUAAACAAGUAUUUACGUAUCUGUCACUAUCAGAAGAUCUAGAAUUGGCCGAGUACUUAUUCAGGUGUCCACAGCCACAAAAGACCCCAUCACAAUAGGAAACCUCAUCACUUGGAUCAUUGAAGAACAUAUGCGUCUGGACUAAGAACUUCAUGGCAGCAGAAAAAUACAACACACUGGUCAAAAUAAUAUCCUAAUUGAGAAACUUCCAUACAACAGUAGUUUUCACAAAGAUAAGAGGAGCCAUGAGGGAAGAAAACUGAAUUGAAACUUAUCGAUACUUAUAAAAGACUAAACUAAAAAGGCCUCAAAUCAUAUGGACAAACAAGGUCACUCCAUGAAAAGAAGAAUCUACUGCUUUGUACGACCCAAUGGCUGCAAGCAAAGGAAUGAAGGGAAGAGUUACUCGCAAAGCUGACGAAACCCACUAAAAAAUGCAAAGACAGGGUUGAAAAACACCUCUCUCGAAGACUGAUAAUAUUCAGAUUGCGGUGCAAGCACAAAAUGGCAAAGUAUCACGAUUGAGAAACACCUCUAUCUUGCCUGAUAAUAUUGAGAUUCCAGUGCCAGCACUAAAAUGGCAGAGAAACAGGCUUCCUGGGCACUGGGCAUCAACCUUCGAAAUUUUCCAAAUCUAAUCCUUUUCACUGUAAUCCAUCCAACAAAUAAAAUCAAGCUGGGGUGACACAACAAACAGGAAGCCGAGAAGAUAAGCAGCAAGAAUAUACUACCAAAAGAGACGAACCCACUUGACGGGGCUGUCAAGAGAUCUAGGAUUGAGUUUGGAUUGAGUUUGGAUUGAGUUUUGAUUACUUAUCAGCUGUCAAUUAGACCAUAUACCCAUCAACCCCCAGGUUGAUCUCAUUAAUUGGCGAAGAACACAAGCAUCUGAACAAAAAACAGCAGCAGAAUAUAGCACACACUAGUGCAAGAAAAACUAUUCUAGCUGGGAACUUCCAUAUAGCAGCAAUUUUUGACAAAGAGAAGAGGGACCACUCUAAUUGGGGAAGAAAACUGAAAUGAGAAUCCCAGUACUCACAAAACCUGAACUAAUGAAAACCUCAACACAAAUGUCCAAACAAAGCCCUCCAUGAAAAGAACAAUCCACUACUCGGUUAGACUUAGACCCAACUGCAGGCACAGAAAGAAGGGAACAGUUCAGUGCAAAGCUGACAAAACCCUUGUCACCUAAGAAAUCAUUAGAGAUGCAAGAGACAAUUGAAAAACUCCAUUUUUAGUCUAAAGCCUGACAAUAUCCAUCUUAGAGUGCAAGCACCAAAAAGACCAAGAAACAGGUGCACAAGAAUGCAUACUGGACACAAGCCUUUAAAGUCUCCAAAACUAAUCCUCCAUUGAUGUCACCACGUGGUCUACGCACAUAUUCACCAACAAACAAAAUCAAGCAGGCGUGAUAACCAAGGGAAAAUGGAAGCAAAGAGAGGUAAGUAGCUAGGACACAAAAGGCAGACGAUCACUUCACAAUACUAUCUGAGAUCCAGAAUUAGACUUUUGACUACUUAUCCAGUGCCCAUAACACCACAAGAGAUAGCAGGAUCGUCAAAGAACAUGCGCAUCUGAACUAUGAACUAAAACUGGCAGCAGAAUGGCUAUACAACACAAGUGAAGAUAAUUAUCAUAGUUGAGAACUUCCAUAAGCAGUUUUGACAAAACUUCGAGAGACUGAAAAAUCCAAUACCUAUAGUCAAAAACCUGGGAACUGCUGCAUCUUUCCCAAGACAAACAUUGAAGCAAGACACUUAUUCCAGUAGACCAACGUGGACCUAGAUGCCCGUCCAUGUAGUCUCGACAGCUAAGAAUGACAUCCAAUGAUGACCAAACCAAAUAAGUUGAGCGAGGAGAAACAUGAUAACAAAAUUAGCAUUAAAGAUGGAAGUCAAAAUAUCAAAUCCAAAACUGAUAGGUCCACUCUAUGGUUGUAACAAGAAAAGAUGAGGGGACUGAUUCAUCUCAAGAUCCAAAUUUCCACUUCCACUCGUAUUCUGAUUCAAUAAAAGGAAAUUGCUAUAUUUCAGAGUAGUAAAUAGGAAACACACGGUUUCUCACAACAAAAACCUCAGAAUUUCCCAAAACCUGGAAGCAAAACUUGAUUCCCCCAAAACUGCAUCUAGAAAGGCUACCAGCUUCCAAUUUCUAAAAAAAACAUUGGAAAUCAAUCGAAGGUACACAAGAAAAUAAAUGCACUGCAAAGGUACCCAUAAUCAUUCUCCUAUCAUUAUCACCCAUACCUGAUCAAACAAACACCAACAACGAAUCAAUAAAUUGGCAAAAAAAAAAAACAGAACUAAUUGUGAACGCCCAAAACCCCUAACGUUCCUCCUCCUAGAUGAUCAUGAUCAAAGAGUUGCAAAUCAGAAACCCCAACCCAUAUUAAAAAAAUCAAAAUCAAAACUAAAGGAAGACAUCAGAAUCAACAAUAACUACCCAUAUAUCUUGAUCAAACACUGCAAAUUUCAAAGAAAGAACACCAAAUCAUAGGAAAAAAAAAGAGAAGUAAACCAAU
rnacentral:lncRNA from 1 species